GGAUAGUUCAGUUGGUUAGAGCAUGGUGCUGACAAUGCCAAGGUUGCAGGUUCGAUCCCCAUAAGGACCA